UGCUCUGCAGCUGAAAAGCAUGCUUAUGGCAGGUCCUGCUUUCCAGUUCUCUGCUUUUGGACAACAUCAUUCUUUUUUUCCAAGCAAUAAACAUCCUACAGGGUGUUUGGUUCUCCACACAUCUCCGUUACUGCCUUACAAAGCCUAAGCUGGGAACAACUGGAGAAGAAAAAUACUGCUUGUGUAUCUGCCCGUGAUGCUCAGGAGAUCCAAAACCACACCUCCUAAAGAAGUCUUUAUGUGAUGGGAAAACCACUUUGCUUUUGCAUGAAAGUGACUUUAAAUAAAAGAGAACUAUUAAUGCACUUCACUGUGGUAGGAGUUUAUAGUAUUACGAUUGUGUUUUUGUCACCUGUGGUCUAACUGCAGUUCUAUAGCUAACUUUUCCAUAGGAUUUUAUCAAUGCUUUUUCACAAUUCACAGUCUAGCUAUCAAAUGUUCUAGUUUGGAUUUUGGCAGUUAAACUUUUCUACUUUCUCUAGUGGGUGUGCAGCCAAAUAAAAUUACCAUUUGGCUUUAGAAGGAGUUGAGUGAGUAAAAAUAGUGAACAAGGAAAUUAAAGUUUAAAUGGGACUUGGUGGAAAUUUUAAAUCUUAAUACUGAGGACACAGUGUCCAUGUGUAUACUUAGAACUAGCAUGGGAAGAAAAUGCAUAUAAAGACUACUGCUUCCUACAUUUAAUUCAUUUGUAACAAGCCUGCAUUUUCAACAAAUGAUUGUCAAGGUUUUUUUUGCAGAGGAUAAGGCUGAAGCCAGUAUUGAGAUGUCCUCUUGAGAACAGUGAAGGAAACUGAAGUCAGGGACAGCAUCUGGGAAUUAGCCUGGAGAAUCCCAAACCAAACCUGUGAUCAAUUUGAUAAACUUCAGCUGCCACAAAUAGUUUGAGAUCUGAAUGCCAGACAGGCUCUAUUAUUCUUGUCACUUAUAUCAAAAGGCAUGCGUUGAAAACCUGAAGUGGAAGAACUGCAUCGAAAGCAGCCCUCUUAAGAACUGAGGUUUUUAAAGUAAGUUGGGAUGGGAGUGUAACAAAGCCUCUGUGUUGUGCUGUUGCACAUCAGAGCCAAGAAAACCCUAAGGGGCACAUCUCUAGUACCAUGUCUAGCAGAUUAUGCAUGCAACUGUAGUUGCCAGUAAUGAGUUGUGUGGCUAAUUUGUCAUGCACAGCACUGAAACACUCCCCACAGGCAGCUGAAUUCAUGAGGCACUUUGCUUCCCCCCAAGGUGAUGAGCACCACUAGAGCUCCUCAUAGUAAAUGGGACAAGAAAACUUUCGUCUGUUGCAAGGGCAGACCUUGGCAAAUAGAAAAUCAGAAGCGGGAAGAAAACACUGUCUUUAA
ensembl:lncRNA